GGUUAUAGCUUAGUGGUAGAGCAUCUGCUUUGCAUGCAGAAGAUUCCAGAUAAAAUCUCUGACAUCUCCA